rnacentral:rRNA from 1 species
GUAGGUGGCAAGCGUUGUCCGGAAUUAUUGGGCGUAAGGCGCGCGCAGGCGGUUCUUUAAGUCUAAUGUGAAAGCCCACGGGCUCAACCGUGGAGGGUCAUCGGAAACUGGAGAACUUGAGUACAGAAGAGGAAAGCGGAAUUCCACGUGUAGCGGUGAAAUGCGUAGAGAUGUGGAGGAACACCAGUGGCGAAGGCGGCUUUCUGGUCUGUAACUGACGCUGAGGCGCGAAAGCGUGGGAGCAAACAGGAUUAGAUACCCUGGUAGUCCACGCCGUAAACGAUGAGUGCUAAGUGUUAGGGGGUUUCCGCCCCUUAGUGCUGCAGCUAACGCAUUAAGCACUCCGCCUGGGGAGUACGGCCGCAAAGGCUG